GAAUGAAAAGUCCCAAGCUAGACAAAAACUUAGAAGAAACUCUGGUCCUGAAUAACUUCAUCAAGCUGUUGCUCAAGCCUUGUACUAUGAGUGUAAAAUAUAAUAUUUUUAAGAUAAAUAUAAUAAGCUAUUAAUGUAAAUAUUGGUUGGGGAGAAGGAACUCGAGGGGUGGAAAAGGGGGCUCCGUAUUCUGCCAUUUUUAUCAUUCUGUAUUAUUUGAAUUCAUAUACAUACAUGUAUUACUCUUAUUUAAAAAUAAUGGAAAUCAUUCUGUAUCAAGAUUACCUGUGCUAAAAUCCUCACUUUUCUACUUGUACGUUGUAUGAGCUUGAAUUCGUGACUUUCUCUUUCUAGGC
rnacentral:lncRNA from 1 species